rnacentral:misc_RNA from 1 species
UUUUUUUUUUUUUUGGGUGUCACUUCGACUGUACUGUUUAUUUUGAUUGUGUUGAUAUUAGUGGCUAUUAAAGAAUUCGUUAAUUGUUUUAAGUAGUUUUCGAGUUUCUAAGUAUGAAGAUCUUUUAAUAGUUCUUCUGCAAACUUUGUAAUCCAUGUUACAUAAACAUGGCCUUGCAGGCUAGUUGUUAGUAGAAAAUAGAAACGCUUUUGCACAUGCUCUUCAAACUUUGAAAUUGCAUUAUCCUCAGCUUAUGUUUCCGUUCUUACCACGGAUGCAUGUAAAGUUUUACAUGAGGUCUUUUUUGUUCAUACAAUUGGGGCUUUCUUCAAAGAGGUGUAUUUGUUGAACUUUAUGAAUGAUGGUUGUUAGAAUUGAUCCCAUGUGCGUUUGUAUUUACAUGACCAUGAAGUUUGUUCAAGUCAAUUACUGAUUUUUUUAGUGGAUUCUUUCUAAUUUUUUUGUAUUAUCUACCCUACUUCUUGUUGUUUAUGUGUGCUGGUUCUUCCUACUUAUGCAAAAUCUUCUAGUUUGUGGUUGUCACUUGUGACAUGCACCUUGCACACACACAACACGCUUUGCUUGUUUCCUCUCUGAGUCUCCCUGACCACCAGCUCUCCUUGCCAGAUCAAAGAGAAGGCAACAAUGACGUUGAGACUUUCAAAAGUG